UGCGUAGGCGGCCUGAUAAGUCAGGGGUGAAAGACGGUGGCUCAACCAUCGCAGUGCCUUUGAUACUGUCGGGCUUGAAUGUACUUGAGGUAGGCGGAAUGUGACAAGUAGCGGUGAAAUGCAUAGAUAUGUCACAGAACACCGAUUGCGAAGGCAGCUUACUAAAGUAUGAUUGACGCUGAGGCACGAAAGCGUGGGGAUCAAACA
rnacentral:rRNA from 1 species